GCGGGAAGAGGCGGACAGCGAGGCCAAGAUUUCAGCUGCGGGACGGUCAGGGGAGACCUCCAGGCGCAGGGAAGGACGGCCAGGGUGACACGGAAGCCCAGCGCCGGGGCCUGCAGGUGGCCCUGGAGGAAUUUCACAAGCACCCGCCCGUGCAGUGGGCCUUCCAGGAGACCAGUGUGGAGAGCGCCGUGGACACGCCCUUCCCAGCUGGAAUAUUUGUGAGGCUGGAAUUUAAGCUGCAGCAGACAAGCUGCCGGAAGAGGGACUGGAAGAAACCCGAGUGCAAAGUCAGGCCCAAUGGGAGGAAACGGAAAUGCCUGGCCUGCAUCAAACUGGGCUCUGAGGACAAAGUUCUGGGCCGGUUGGUCCACUGCCCCAUAGAGACCCAAGUUCUGCGGGAGGCUGAGGAGCACCAGGAGACCCAGUGCCUCAGGGUGCAGCGGGCUGGUGAGGACCCCCACAGCUUCUACUUCCCUGGACAGUUCGCCUUCUCCAAGGCCCUGCCCCGCAGCUAAGCCAGCACUGAGAUGCGUGGUGCCUCCAGGACCGCUGCGGGUGGUAACCAGUGGAAGACCCCAGCCCCCAGGGAGAGGAACCCGUUCUAUCC
rnacentral:lncRNA from 1 species